UCUGCCUCUGGAAAAGAGGAAGGAAACGACGACCGAUGCCUCUGCACGGUGCGAGGUGCUUGCCUGCCCGCACCGGCAGCAUUUCCAAGAAGCCUCUGAGGGGGUGCCCUGGGCCUGCACCGUCCCCACAGAGCAGGACGGCGGCUCCUGGACAUGAGUUUGCAGAGCUGCGUGACUAACAAGAGGAGCUACAAGUGUGCCAGGUAUGAAGCAUGAGAGGAGCAGUGGACCCACCACUUCACAGGAGCCUGCAAGCACCAGGAGAACAUACCUGGGGCAGGACGAGAAGAGAAAGCCAGGGAGCUCAGAGGCAUUCUUCAUGAGCGCAGUGGACAAAGCAGCAACAGGAGAUGAACAGACAAGUCAGCAUGAAUAUGAGAGGAAAUUACAUUCAUUUCUGUACAGGGCAGGGGUACGUAAGCGACUGCAGUGCUAAAUAAUUAUGUAACACUUAAAAAAAAUCCCUGAGCUGUGGAAAAAAAAGCUGUGCCAGGGUCUCUGAGGGCUUGCAGGUAUAUAAAAAGAUAGGUUUUGUUAAAAAAAUAAAUAAAUAAAAAGCUGCUUUUGAAGGUUA